rnacentral:lncRNA from 1 species
ACACGACUUCAGAAUCCACCAGCAACACGACAUUUCUCGAUCGCGGUUCCCAUCCCCUUUCCUUCCUUCGGCCUUCCACCUCUGCGAUACUCCUCCUUCCUCUUUGGUUGCGUUUCCUUCUCUCCUUUUGGUUUUCUUGCUCGUCUUUCUCUCGGGUAGUGUUCUUUUCUCCCUAUCAGCCUGACUCUCACUCAAUCUUGGCCUCCUCUCUCACCCACUCGACUCAUGGAUCCUCUUCUCUCAUUUUCAGCUCUCAUUUGCUGAAUUAAAAAAAUCCUAAUUGUUUUUUUGAAUACCAAUUUCCCUAGCCACCUAAUCUUGCAAGACUCAGUCUGGGCCAUUCAACUAAAUGAGAUUUCAAGCUGUUGGAUCUCUCAGACGGUGCGAUCAUGACCGUUUAUUUCUUGAUUUCUUUUUGCCUCCCUUUUAUUCUUAUUUAAUUAGGCAUCUGAC